rnacentral:rRNA from 1 species
CCCGGGAUAGCCCAGGGAAACCUGGAUUAAUACCGGAUGAGACGGGACCCGCGAUCGGCGGGACCCGGGAAAGGCGCUGCGGCGCCGCCGGGGGAUGAGUCUGCGUCCCAUUAGCUAGACGGCGGGGUAACGGCCCACCGUGGCGACGAUGGGUAGCCGGCCUGAGAGGGUGGACGGCCACAUUGGAACUGAGACACGGUCCAGACUCCUACGGGAGGCAGGCUAGCUAAGAAGUCUUCCGCAAUGGGCGAAAGCCUGACGGAGCGACGCCGCGUGAACGAAGAAGGCCGUGAGGUUGUAAAGUUCUUUUCGGGAGGGGGAACAACCGUGGCAGGGAAUGGCCGCGGGAUGACGUGAAUCCCGGAAUAAGCCCCGGCUAACUACGUGCCAGCAGCCGC